rnacentral:rRNA from 1 species
AUUGAACGCUGGCGGCAGGCCUAACACAUGCAAGUCGAACGAGUGGCGGACGGGUGAGUAAUGUCUGGGAAACUGCCUGAUGGAGGGGGAUAACUACUGGAAACGGUAGCUAAUACCGCAUCCCAUCGGAUGUGCCCAGAUGGGAUUAGCUAGUAGGUGGGGUAACGGCUCACCUAGGCGCCGAUCCCUAACUGGUCUGAGAGGAGGACCAGCCACUCUGGACCUGUGACACGGUCCCGAGUCCUCCGGGAGGCAUCAGUGGGGAAUAUUGCACAAUGGGCGCAAGCCUGAUACAGCAAUGCCGCGUGUGUGAAGAAGGCCUUCGGGUUGUAAAGCACUUUCAGCGGGGAGGCGUUACCCGCAGAAGAAGCACCGGCUAACUCCGUGCCAGCAGCCGCGGUAAUAC